AAGAGGAAGUCCGGUGAGAAUCCGGCGCUGACCCGCAACCGUGUUCGCCGGUAUGUAGGGGUAGGUUUAAACCUACCCCUACAUACCGGCGUAAGUCGGGAACUC
rnacentral:ncRNA from 2 species